UGAACCUUGGGCUCAAGCUUCGUCGCUACGGAAAGGGGCUUAGGUUGGGUUUUCGCAUUUCCCUGUGAGACGCUGCCCCAUUGACAAAUGCAUUCGUUAUAGUUAAGCACCUAGGUUUAAAGAGCACAGGCUCCGGACGUGCAGGCUCAGCCGCUCCGCGGCAUAUGGGAUCUUCCUGGACUGGGGCACGAACCCGUGUCCCCUGCAUCGGCAGGCGGACUCGCAACUACUGCGCCACCAGGGAAGCCCUGGAGGAGAAGAAGAAUGGAUAAUGGAUGGUGGCUGGUGGAAGAGGAGGUAUUCAUUCUUUGGAAGAGCACAGGAUCUGGACGUGCAGGCUCAGCGGCCAUGGCUCAGGGACCCAGCCGCUCCGCGGCAUGUGGGAUCUUCCCGGACUGGGGCACGAACCCGUGUCCCCUGCAUCGGCAGGUGGACUCUCAACCACUGCGCCACCAGGGAAGCCCCACAAAUACAUUUUUUAAACUGCUCCGCGGCAUGUGGGAUCUUCCCGGACCGGGGCAUGAACCCGUGUCCCCUGCAUCGGCAGGCGGACUCUCAACCACUGCGCCGCCAGGGAAGCCCCAAUAAGGAGGCAGAUCCAAGAAAAUAUUGCUAUGAUUUAUGUCAAAGAGUGGCCUGCCUGUGUUUUCUUCUAGGAGUUUUAUAGUAUCCAGUCUUACAUUUAGGUCUUUAAUCCAUUUUGAGUUUAUUUUUGUAUAUGGUGUUAGAGAAUGAUCUAAUAUUCUUUGACAUGUAGCUGCCCAG